UGGGGAAUUUUGGACAAUGGGCGAAAGCCUGAUCCAGCAAUGCCGCGUGUGUGAAGAAGGCCUUCGGGUCGUAAAGCACUUUUGUCCGGAAAGAAAUCCUUGGCUCUAAUACAGUCGGGGGAUGACGGUACCGGAAGAAUAAGCACCGGCUAACUACGUGCCAGCAGCCGCGGUAAUACGUAGGGUGCAAGCGUUAAUCGGAAUUACUGGGCGUAAAGCGUGCGCAGGCGGUUUGCUAAGACCGAUGUGAAAUCCCCGGGCUCAACCUGGGAACUGCAUUGGUGACUGGCAGGCUAGAGUAUGGCAGAGGGGGGUAGAAUUCCACGUGUAGCAGUGAAAUGCGUAGAGAUGUGGAGGAAUACCGAUGGCGAAGGCAGCCCCCUGGGCCAAUACUGACGCUCAUGCACGAAAGCGUGGGGAGCAAACAGGAUUAGAUACCCUGGUAGUCCACGCCCUAAACGACGUCAACUAGUUGUUGGGGAUUCAUUUCCUUAGUAACGUAGCUAACGCGUGAAGUUGACCGCCUGGGGAGUACGGUCGCAAGAUUAAAACUUAAAGGAAUUGACGGGGUCAUAGCUGUUUCCU
rnacentral:rRNA from 1 species